rnacentral:rRNA from 1 species
UAUCUACAGGCUUAACACAUGCAAGUCGAGGGGCAUCAGGAAGAAAGCUUGCUUUCUUUGCUGGCGACCGGCGCACGGGUGAGUAACACGUAUCCAACCUGCCCUUUACUCGGGGAUAGCCUUUCGAAAGAAAGAUUAAUACCCGAUAGCAUAAUGAUUCCGCAUGGUUUCAUUAUUAAAGGAUUCCGGUAAAGGAUGGGGAUGCGUUCCAUUAGGUUGUUGGUGAGGUAACGGCCCACCAAGCCUUCGAUGGAUAGGGGUUCUGAGAGGAAGGUCCCCCACAUUGGAACUGAGACACGGUCCAAACUCCUACGGGAGGCAGCAGUGAGGAAUAUUGGUCAAUGGGCGCUAGCCUGAACCAGCCAAGUAGCGUGAAGGAUGAAGGCUCUAUGGGUCGUAAACUUCUUUUAUAUAAGAAUAAAGUGCAGUAUGUAUACUGUUUUGUAUGUAUUAUAUGAAUAAGGAUCGGCUAACUCCGUGCCAGCAGCCGCGGUAAUACGGAGGAUCCGAGCGUUAUCCGGAUUUAUUGGGUUUAAAGGGAGCGUAGGUGGACUGGUAAGUCAGUUGUGAAAGUUUGCGGCUCAACCGUAAAAUUGCAGUUGAUACUGUCAGUCUUGAGUACAGUAGAGGUGGGCGGAAUUCGUGGUGUAGCGGUGAAAUGCUUAGAUAUCACGAAGAACUCCGAUUGCGAAGGCAGCUCACUGGACUGCAACUGACACUGAUGCUCGAAAGUGUGGGUAUCAAACAGGAUUAGAUACCCUGGUAGUCCACACAGUAAACGAUGAAUACUCGCUGUUUGCGAUAUACAGUAAGCGGCCAAGCGAAAGCAUUAAGUAUUCCACCUGGGGAGUACGCCGGCAACGGUGAAACUCAAAGGAAUUGACGGGGGCCCGCACAAGCGGAGGAACAUGUGGUUUAAUUCGAUGAUACGCGAGGAACCUUACCCGGGCUUAAAUUGCAGUGGAAUGAUGUGGAAACAUGUCAGUGAGCAAUCACCGCUGUGAAGGUGCUGCAUGGUUGUCGUCAGCUCGUGCCGUGAGGUGUCGGCUUAAGUGCCAUAACGAGCGCAACCCUUAUCUUUAGUUACUAACAGGUUAUGCUGAGGACUCUAGAGAGACUGCCGUCGUAAGAUGUGAGGAAGGUGGGGAUGACGUCAAAUCAGCACGGCCCUUACGUCCGGGGCUACACACGUGUUACAAUGGGGGGUACAGAAGGCAGCUAGCGGGUGACCGUAUGCUAAUCCCAAAAUCCUCUCUCAGUUCGGAUCGAAGUCUGCAACCCGACUUCGUGAAGCUGGAUUCGCUAGUAAUCGCGCAUCAGCCACGGCGCGGUGAAUACGUUCCCGGGCCUUGUACACACCGCCCGUCAAGCCAUGGGAGCCGGGGGUACCUGGAGUACGUAACCGCAAGGAUCGUCCUAGGGUAAAACUGGUGACUGGGGCUAA